AACGAACGCUGGCGGCGCGCUUAACACAUGCAAGUCGAACGAGAAGGCGUAGCAAUACGCUUGUACAGUGGCGAACGGGUGAGGAAUACAUGGGUAACCUACCCUCGAGUGGGGGAUAACCCGCCGAAAGGCGGGCUAAUACCGCGUACGCUUCCGAUCUUGCGGGAUUGGAAGGAAAGCUGUCCCUUGGGGAUGGCGCUCAAGGAUGGGCUCAUGUCCUAUCAGCUUGUUGGAGGGUAACGGCCUACCAAGGCAUCGACGGGUAGCUGGUCUGAGAGGACGAUCAGCCACACUGGCACUGCGACACGGGCCAGACUCCUACGGGAGGCAGCAGUGAGGAAUAUUGCGCAAUGGGCGAAAGCCUGACGCAGCGACGCCGCGUGGGGGAUGAAGGUCUUCGGAUUGUAAACCCCUUUCGGGAGGGAAGACGGCCUUAGACAACUAAGGCGGACGGUACCUCCAGAAGCAGCC
rnacentral:rRNA from 1 species